AUUGAACGCUGGCGGCAGGCCUAACACAUGCAAGUCGAGCGGGGUUUUCGGACCUAGCGGCGGACGGGUGAGUAAUGCGUAGGAAGCUACCCGAUAGAGGGGGAUACCAGUUGGAAACGACUGUUAAUACCGCAUAAUGUCUACGGACCAAAGUGUGGGACCUUCGGGCCACAUGCUAUCGGAUGCGCCUACGUGGGAUUAGCUAGUUGGUGAGGUAAUGGCUCACCAAGGCGACGAUCCCUAGCUGGUUUGAGAGGAUGAUCAGCCACACUGGAACUGGAACACGGUCCAGACUCCUACUGGAGGCAGCAGUGGGGAAUAUUGGACAAUGGGCGCAAGCCUGAUCCAGCCAUGCCGCGUGUGUGAAGAAGGCCUUCGGGUUGUAAAGCACUUUCAGUAGGGAGGAAGCGUUGUGUGUUAAUAGUACACAGCGUUGACGUUACCUACAGAAGAAGCACCGGCUAACUCUGUGCCAGCAGCCGCCGCGGUA
rnacentral:rRNA from 1 species